GUGGGUCUGUCAAUUUUGUGCUUAAUAACAAGAAAAAGCCUUUCCAUGCUGCUUCUUCCUCUAAAGCUAAAGACAAAGCACCUAUGCCACAGAAGUAUUAGCAACAGCGUCAGCAACAGCGCCCUCCAGCACAAGAUGAGUGCUUCCACUGCUUUGACAAGGGGCAUCGUAAAGCAGAUUGUCCCGCUUACUUAAAGAUGAUAAUGGCAAAGAAUGGGAUUCCGUUCGACAAGGACUACGCAAAGAA